GACGAACUGUCCUAACGUUGUUCGGAAUCACUGGGCUUAAAGGGCGCGUAGGCGGGCCGACAAGUCGGGGUGAAAUCCUGCAGCUUAACUGCAGAAGUGCCUUCGAUACUGUUGGUCUAGAGGGAGAUAGGGGUGUGCGGAACUUCCAGUGGAGCGGUGAAAUGCGUUGAUAUUGGAAGGAACGCCGGAGGCGAAAGCGGCGCACUGGAUCUCUACUGACGCUGAGGCGCGAA
rnacentral:rRNA from 1 species